UAUGCCGAACAUAGCGGACUGUCAAGAAAUUAGUCUUAUGAGAAUCAGUUUUUAGUAAAGUUCUUCAUCAUCGUUUUCGUGACUUUGAAAAUGAAAUUGAGUUUGAUCUUCUUUGUUAUAAUUAACGUUUUUUGCAUUGAUAUUGAAUCGAUUUCUAAUGGAACGUUUGUUACUAUAAAGGAAGCGCCAUUUUAUGUUUCCAUAAUAAUAGGCAACAAAGAAUUUUGUGGUGGGUCAAUAAUUUCGGACUAUUGGAUAGUAUAAGCAGCUCACUAUUUUCUGGACUUUGAAAACCAAGAUGUAACAAUCCGAUCCGAUUCGAGUACUAAUUUGACCUUCGGAAAAAAACAUAAAAUUGAAAAAGUCAUUACAUCUGAAGAUUAUAAUAUACUGGAUUUUUCUAAAACAACCGGAACGCAUGAUAUUAGUCUAAUAAAAAUUUCUAUGACAAUUUUUGACUCAGAGUUUUGUGGGGGAUCUAUUAUUUCAGAGUAUUGGAUAGUAUCAGCAGCUCACUGUUUCAGCAACUUCAGAGACGAUUUAGUACGAAUUCGAUCCAGUUCUAGUACUACUGCUGUAAAAGGAAGAAAACACAAAAUUGAAAAGGUACUCAUACCUGAAAAUUUCAACAUACCGGAUUCUAGAAAAGGAACACAUGAUAUCAGUCUUAUAAAACUAUAAAAGCCAAUUAUAUUUGAUGAAUUUCAACAACCGAUACAAAUUUCUCGAAAUCCACCAAGAGACAAUGACAAGGCAACCAUAUAUGGUUUAGGCCAUCAGGGUACGACUCGUACGGACACGUUAGUUCUCAAAAUGGUAGAACUCAAUAUUAUCAGUAAAAAAGAUUGUGAACAAGUAUGGCACGAGACAGACGAUGUAUUUUGUACUGAGGAUGGCAUUACGAGCACAAACGCUUGUAAAGGUGAAACGGUCACGACUUAUCUCGGUCCUGUAGUAAUUAAAUUUAUUUUUUUGCGGAGCUUGUACGGGGUGUUACAAAGGAGACUCUGGAGGCCCAGUGGUGAUUGACGGCAAGCUAGCAGGAGUUGUUAGCCAGGGAUUCUCAUGCAAAAUUUCUAACAGGGGAUCACCAGGAUUUCAUACCAAAGUUCAUAAACAGUAUGAUUGGAUUAGGAAAAAAAGGGUAUAAAAUAUUGAAGACACCUUAUAAAAAAGUGCUUCAUAAAAGUAGAUUUGCUUAAUAAAAGUUAGAUUAUUGAAUAGGAAUUCUUAAACACUUAAAGGUACCUCUACCUAAAGUCCUGACUUCAUCACAAAGGUUGUGUUUUUUUUUAUUCUGGUGAAAAUAAAUUUGUAAAUUAAUUUAUUUGGGGCCGCAGUAGCACCCUAAUGACAAGUAUGCCUUGUUACAACAUAAAUAUGAAGACUAUUAUGUACUCGGUGUAAUAACGUUGUAUGUUCAUUCAAGAUUAUGCACGAAAUAAAUAUAUAUAUCAAAACAAAA